rnacentral:rRNA from 1 species
UGUGAUAGCAAGGGCUGGGCAAGACCGGUGCCAAGCCGCCGCGGUAACACCGGCAGCCCGAGUGGUGAUCACUAUUAUUGGGUCUAAAGGGUCCGUAGCCGGUUUAAUCAGUCUUCUGGGAAAUCUAAUCGCUUAACUAUUAGGCUUCCAGGGGAUACUGUUAGACUUGGGACCGGGAGAGGUAAGAGGUACUGCAGGGGUAGGAGUGAAAUCUUGUAAUCCCUGUGAGACCACCAGUGGCGAAGGCGUCUUACCAGAACGGGUCCGACGGUGAGGGACGAAAGCUGGGGGCACGAACCGGAUUAGAUACCCGGGUAGUCCCAGCUGUAAACGAUGCUCGUUAGGUGUCAGGAACGGUGCGACUGUUUCUGGUGCCGAAGGGAAGCCGUGAAACGAGCCACCUGGGAAGUACGGCCGCAAGGCUGAAACUUAAAGGAAUUGGCGGGGGAGCACUACAACGGGUGGAGCCUGCGGUUUAAUUGGACUCAACGCCGGAAAACUCACCGGGGGCGACAGCAAUAUGUAGGUCAGGUUAAAGGUCUUACCUGAAUCGCUGAGAGGAGGUGCAUGGCCGUCGUCAGUUCGUACUGUGAAGCAUCCUGUUAAGUCAGGCAACGAGCAAGACCCGUGCCCACUGUUACCAGCAUAUCCUUUAUGGAUGAUGGGGACUCUGUGGGGACCGCUGCUGCUAAAGCAGAGGAAGGUGCGGGCUACGGUAGGUCAGUAUGCCCCGAAUCUCCCGGGCUACACGCGGGCUACAAUGGUUGGGACAAUGGGUAUCUACUCCGAAAGGAGUUGGCAAUCUCUUAAACCCAAUCGUAGUUCGAAUUGAGGGCUGUAACUCGCCACUCAUGAAGCUGGAAUCCGUAGUAAUCGCGUUUCAACAUAGCGCG